GAUGAACGCUGGCGGCGUGCCUAAUACAUGCAAGUCGAGCGAACAGACGAGGAGCUUGCUCCUCUGACGUUAGCGGCGGACGGGUGAGUAACACGUGGAUAACCUACCUAUAAGACUGGGAUAACUUCGGGAAACCGGAGCUAAUACCGGAUAAUAUAUUGAACCGCAUGGUUCAAUAGUGAAAGACGGUUUUGCUGUAACUUAUAGACGGAUCCGCGCCGCAUUAGCUAGUUGGUAAGGUAACGGCUUACCAAGGCAACGAUGCGUAGCCGACCUGAGAGGGUGAUCGGCCACACUGGAACUGAGACACGGUCCAGACUCCUACGGGAGGCAGCAGUAGGGAAUCUUCCGCAAUGGGCGAAAGCCUGACGGAGCAACGCCGCGUGAGUGAUGAAGGUCUUCGGAUCGUAAAACUCUGUUAUUAGGGAAGAACAAAUGUGUAAGUAACUAUGCACGUCUUGACGGUACCUAAUCAGAAAGCCACGGCUAACUACGUG
rnacentral:rRNA from 1 species